rnacentral:rRNA from 1 species
ACGUCGCAAGACCAAAGAGGGGGACCUUCGGGCCUCUUGCCAUCAGAUGUGCCCAGAUGGGAUUAGCUUGUUGGUGAGGUAACGGCUCACCAAGGCGACGAUCCCUAGCUGGUCUGAGAGGAUGACCAGCCACACUGGAACUGAGACACGGUCCAGACUCCUACGGGAGGCAGCAGUGGGGAAUAUUGCACAAUGGGCGCAAGCCUGAUGCAGCCAUGCCGCGUGUAUGAAGAAGGCCUUCGGGUUGUAAAGUACUUUCAGCGGGGAGGAAGGUGUUGUGGUUAAUAACCGCAGCAAUUGACGUUACCCGCAGAAGAAGCACCGGCUAACUCCGUGCCAGCAGCCGCGGUAAUACGGAGGGUGCAAGCGUUAAUCGGAAUUACUGGGCGUAAAGCGCACGCAGGCGGUCUGUCAAGUCGGAUGUGAAAUCCCCGGGCUCAACCUGGGAACUGCAUUCGAAACUGGCAGGCUUGAGUCUUGUAGAGGGGGGUAGAAUUCCAGGUGUAGCGGUGAAAUGCGUAGAGAUCUGGAGGAAUACCGGUGGCGAAGGCGGCCCUCUGGACAAAGACUGACGCUCAGGUGCGAAAGCGUGGGGAGCAAACAGGAUUAGAUACUCUGGUAGUCCACGCCGUACACGAUGUCUACUUGGAGGUUGUGCCCUUGAGGUGUGGCUUCCGGAGCUAACGCGUUAAGUAGACCGCCUGGAGAGUACGGCCGCAAGGUUAAAACUCAAAUGAAUUGACGGGGGCCCGCACAAGCGGUGGAGCAUGUGGUUUAAUUCGAUGCAACGCGAAGAACCUUACCUGGUCUUGACAUC